rnacentral:tRNA from 1 species
UGUGAUUAAAUGUAUGAUGCAUAUAGGAUUUUGAUUUCUAAAGGUAAGUUUAAUUCUUAAACUCACAA